CCUUGGUGUUCAUAAUAACUCGUCGAAUCGCAUGGCCUUGUGCGGCGAUGCUUCAUUCAAAUAUCUGCCCUAUCAACUUUCGAUGGUGGGAUAGAGGCCUACCAUGGUUUCAACGGGUAACGGGGAAUAAGGGUUCGAUUCCGGAGAGGGAGCCUGAGAAACGGCUACACAUCCAAGGAAGGCAGCAGGCGCGCAAAUUACCCAAUCCCGACACGGGGAGGUAGUGACAAUAAAUAACAAUAUAGGGCCCUCUCGGGUCUUAUAAUUGGAAUGAGUACAAUUUAAAUCCCUUAACGAGGAACAAUUGGAGGGCAAGUCUGGUGCCAGCAGCCGCGGUAAUUCCAGCUCCAAUAGCGUAUAUUAAAGUUGUUGCAGUUAAAAAGCUCGUAGUUGAACUUCAGGCCUGGUGGGUGGUCUGCUUAACGGCAUGUACUGUCUGGCUGGGUCUUACCUCUUGGUGAGCCGGUGUGCCCUUUAUUGGUGUGCAUUGGGGAACCAGGACUUUUACCUUGAGAAAAUUAGAGUGUUCAAAGCAGGCUUAUGCCCGAAUACAUUAGCAUGGAAUAAUAAAAUAGGACGUGUGGUUCUAUUUUGUGGUUUCUAGAGUCGCCGUAAUGAUUAAUAGGGAUAGUUGGGGGCAUUGGUAUUGAGUCGCUAGAGGUGAAAUUCUUGGAUUAUUGAAGACUAACUACUGCGAAGCAUUCGCAAGGAUGUUUCAUUAUCAGUGACGAAGUUAGGGAUCGAAG
rnacentral:rRNA from 1 species